rnacentral:rRNA from 1 species
GACGAACGCUGGCGGCGUGCUUAACACAUGCAAGUCGAGCGGUAAGGCCUCUCGGGGUACACGAGCGGCGAACGGGUGAGUAACACGUGGGUGAUCUGCCCUGCACUUCGGGAUAAGCCUGGGAAACUGGGUCUAAUACCGGAUAUGACCUCCUAUCGCAUGGUGGGUGGUGGAAAGAUUUAUCGGUGCAGGAUGGGCCCGCGGCCUAUCAGCUUGUUGGUGGGGUAAUGGCCUACCAAGGCGACGACGGGUAGCCGACCUGAGAGGGUGACCGGCCACACUGGGACUGAGACACGGCCCAGACUCCUACGGGAGGCAGCAGUGGGGAAUAUUGCACAAUGGGCGAAAGCCUGAUGCAGCGACGCCGCGUGAGGGAUGACGGCCUUCGGGUUGUAAACCUCUUUCAGCAGGGACGAAGCGCAAGUGACGGUACCUGCAGAAGAAGCACCGGCUAACUACGUG